rnacentral:rRNA from 1 species
UACGAAGGGGGCUAGCGUUGCUCGGAAUCACUGGGCGUAAAGCGCACGUAGGCGGAUUGCUAAGUCAGGGGUGAAAUCCCGGAGCUCAACUCCAGAACUGCCUUUGAUACUGGCGAUCUUGAGUCCGGGAGAGGUGAGUGGAACUGCGAGUGUAGAGGUGAAAUUCGUAGAUAUUCGCAAGAACACCAGUGGCGAAGGCGGCUCACUGGCCCGGUACUGACGCUGAGGUGCGAAAGCGUGGGGAGCAAACAGG